rnacentral:piRNA from 1 species
GUGCUUCAAAGCUUCGGACCACAAUCAU